rnacentral:rRNA from 1 species
GACGAACGCUGGCGGCGUGCCUAACACACGCAAGUCGAGCGGAGGUAGACAAGGAGUAAUCUGAGUUUACCUUAGCGGCGGACGCGUGAGUAACGCGUGAGCAACCUGCCUUUCACAGGGGGAUAAGGCGGCGAAAGCCGCUCUAAUACCGCAUGAGACCACGGUGAUGAUAUUACAGGGGUCAAAGGAGCAAUCCGGUGAAAGAUGGGCUCGCGUCCGAUUAGGUAGUUGGUGGGGUAGAGGCUCACCAAGCCAAUGAUCGGUAGCCGGCCUGAGAGGGUGAACGGCCACAUUGGAACUGAGAGACGGUCCAAACUCCUACGGGAGGCAGCAGUGGGGAAUAUUGGGCAAUGGGCGAAAGCCUGACCCAGCAACGCCGCGUGAAGGAAGAAGGUUUUCGGAUUGUAAACUUCUGUUCUUGGGGAAGAGAAGAAGACGGUACCCAAGGAGGAAGCCCCGGCUAACUACGUGCCAGCAGCCGCGGUAAUACGUAGGGGGCAAGCGUUGUCCGGAAUGAUUGGGCGUAAAGGGCGCGUAGGCGGUUGCUCAAGUCCGUAGUGGAAGUCCAGCUUUCAAGGUUGGAGGUGCUAUGGAAACUGAGCAACUUGAGUGCAGGAGAGGUUAUCGGAAUUCCCGGUGUAGCGGUGAAAUGCGUAGAGAUCGGGAGGAACACCAGUGGCGAAGCGGGUAACUGGACUGCAACUGACGCUGAGGCGCGAAGGUGUGGGGAGCAAACAGGAUUAGAUACCCUGGUAGUCCACACGGUAAACGAUGAAUGCUAGGUGUAGGGGGUAUCGACCCCUUUCUGUGCCGCAGUUAACACAAUAAGCAUUCCGCCUGGGGAGUACGGUCGCAAGAUUAAAACUCAAAGGAAUUGACGGGGGCCCGCACAAGCAGCGGAGCAUGUGGUUUAAUUCGAAGCAACGCGAAGAACCUUACUAGGUCUUGACAUCCAGUAAAGCCUGUAGAGAUACAGAGUCCCUUCGGGGGUACUGAGACAGGUGGUGCAUGGUUGUCGUCAGCUCGUGUCGUGAGAUGUUGAGUUAAGUCCCGCAACGAGCGCAACCCUUGCCGAUAGUUACUAACAAGUUGUGUUGAGGACUCUAUUGGGACCGCCGGGGACAACUCGGAGGAAGGUGGGGACGACGUCAAAUCAUCAUGCCCCUUAUGACCUGGGCUACACACGUGCUACAAUGGCUGGUACAAAGGGCUGCGAAACCGCGAGGUCGAGCGAAUCCCAAAAAGCCAGUCUCAGUUCGGAUUGAAGUCUGCAACUCGACUUCAUGAAGCUGGAGUCGCUAGUAAUCCCGGAUCAGCAACGCCGGGGUGAAUACGUUCCCGGGCCUUGUACACACCGCCCGUCACACCACGAAAGUUGGCAACACCCGAAGUCAGUGGCCGAACCCCUCGGGGACGGAGCUGCCGAAGGUGGGGUUAGCGAUUGGGGUG